GCUUGGAUAACUCAGUUGGUUGAGAUUAAGACUCUUAAUCUCAGGGUUGUAGGUUUGAGCCCCACAUUGGGCA